rnacentral:rRNA from 1 species
GUGUUUGUCACUGGUAAGGGCGUAUGGUGGAUGCCUUGGUAGACAGGACCGAUGAAGGACGUGACGGGCUGCGAUAUG